rnacentral:rRNA from 1 species
AUUGAACGCUGGCGGCAGGCCUAACACAUGCAAGUCGAGCGCGCCGCGGACGGGUGAGUAAUGUAUGGGACUCUGCCUGAUGGAGGGGGAUAACUCCUGGAAACGGUAGCUAAUACCGCAUACCAUUCGAUGAUCCCUGAUGGGAUUGGCUAGUAGGUGGGGUAACGGCUCACCUAGGCGACGAUCCCUAGCUGGUCUGAGAGGAGGAUCAGCCACACUGGAACUGAGACACGGUCCAGACUCCUACGGGAGGCAGCAGUGGGGAAUAUUGCGCAAUGGGCGCAAGCCUGAUGCAGCCAUGCCGCGUGUAUGAAGAAGGCCUUCGGGUUGUAAAGUUCUUUCAGUAGGGAGGCGUUACCUACAGAAGAAGCACCGGCUAACUCCGUGCCAGCAGCCGCGGUAAUUC